rnacentral:rRNA from 1 species
CCUACGGGAGGCAGCAGUGAGGAAUAUUGGACAAUGGGCGCAAGCCUGAUCCAGCCAUGCCGCGUGCAGGAUGACGGUCCUAUGGAUUGUAAACUGCUUUUAUACGAGAAGAAACACUCCAACGUGUUGGAGCUUGACGGUAUCGUAAGAAUAAGGAUCGGCUAACUCCGUGCCAGCAG